GGCCCCCCUCUCAAUAAGCCCAGCCACUCUGAUUGGUCAGCUCCCACAGGCCUGAACAAGCACCGCCCACCGACUGCUGUAGCUGGUCCUGUAUUUUUGCAGCCAGGGAAUCACUGUAACCGGGUUUAGCUGCACUUCUACCGUGAAUACCACCACAAGAACCGCUUCUAAACCAAAACCUUCACAGCCGCACAUGUUCGAGCGGGAAUCUGAUCCGAAAUUGGGGAUAAAUGAACAACAUCGGCAACCGAGAUUACAGGUUUCCCAGACACAUGCCUCAUGUACAUGAAAUGACCUAUAGAGCCCAGUGAAGAAGAAAGCAUUUUGUUGUGAAGAGAGACAGAGAUCCACAGACGAAAGGAUAAAGGAUUAGGCUGCAACACAAGUGCUUGUCUUUGUCUUAAGAUUUCUGGUUAGCUCAUCGCAAACCGAGAGUGAGCAAGCUCUCUUUCCUCCUGGCUUCAUCUCCAGCACUGCUGCUCAGCAACAGCUGUUACCGCCAUGUAAUCUGCUCGGAGCAGAAACACUGAACCGAACCACAGCGCUGCGAGAGCCUGCAUAAGACUUCUGCAACGAACUUUAUCACGAACGGCUGCCACACACAGUCUGCCAGCUAAGUUUAAGAACUGACUUUGAGGAGAACCCCAGACCGGGUCCUCCAUCUGCACAACGGACUGCACAGCACGGUUUUCUUCAAUUGGAACCAAUAUUCCUCCCUGCCUGGCUCAUCAACGGAACCGCCAGAUAACAGCAGCACGUUCAAAGCAACUUUUCCUUUAAGGACUGGUAACGUAACCACUGAACCGAUAACUGGGCAUUACAUAGCUUCACAUAACUUAACAGUGUACUUUGCUAAGCACAGGACUGUAUUACUUUGUGAAUGUAUAUGUAUUGAUUUGCUUCACACAGAGGGUCUUGCAUGCAACUAACUAUCCUCUUUUAACCUGGCACCAUUUGUCCUACGUAGCUCACACAUCCACCCCAAUUUGACUUUAACAUACAUGGCCUGGCCGCCAUUUUGAAUUAACUUUCUUUAUCUGACAACAUGCUGCCUCGGCAAUAGCCGCCAUUUUGCACCCAAGCAGCCAUCUUGGAUCACCCACACACACACACACACACCCUUUGUUCUAUAGUUUAGUAGUUUGACUUAGAUAAGACAUAUUGUGUUUUUGCUUUUAUUAUCUUUUAAUAAAUGAUUGUAUAUAAA